UACGUAGGGUCCGAGCGUUGUCCGGAAUUAUUGGGCGUAAAGAGCUCGUAGGCGGUUUGUCGCGUCUGCUGUGAAAAUCCAGGGCUUAACCCUGGACCUGCAGUGGGUACGGGCAGACUGGAGUGCGGUAGGGGAGAUCGGAAUUCCUGGUGUAGCGGUGAAAUGCGCAGAUAUUGGGAAGAACACCAGUGGCGAAGGCGGUUCUCUGGGACGGUACUGACGCUGAGGCGCGAAGGCUAGGGGAGCAAACAGG
rnacentral:rRNA from 1 species